rnacentral:rRNA from 1 species
AUUGAACGCUGGCGGCAUGCUUUACACAGAAUGGAGGCGGGGGUGGCGAACGGGUGAGUAACGCGUAAAGAACUUGCCUCACAGCUAGGGACAACAUUUGGAAACGAAUGCUAAUACCUGAUACUGUGAGAGAGCUUUGCGUCCCAUUAGCUAGUUGGAGAGGUAACGGCUCACCAAGGCGAUGAUGGGUAGCCGGCCUGAGAGGGUGAUCGGCCACAAGGGGACUGAGACACGGCCCUUACUCCUACGGGGGGCAGCAGUGGGGAAUAUUGGACAAUUGACCAAAGUCUGAUCCAGCAAUUCUGUGUGCACGAUGAAGUUUUCGGAAUGUAAAGUGCUUUCAGUUGGGAAGCGGUACCAACAGAAGAAGUGACGGCUAAAUACGUGCCAGCAGCCGCGGUAAUAC